rnacentral:rRNA from 1 species
AUAUCAAUAAGCGGAGGAAAAGAAACCAACAGGGAUUGCCCUAGUAACGGCGAGUGAAGCGGCAACAGCUCAAAUUUGAAAUCUGGCUCUCGGGCCCGAGUUGUAAUUUGUAGAGGAUACUUUUGAUGCGGUGCCUUCCGAGUUCCCUGGAACGGGACGCCAUAGAGGGUGAGAGCCCCGUCUGGUUGGAUGCCAAAUCUCUGUAAAGUUCCUUCAACGAGUCGAGUAGUUUGGGAAUGCUGCUCUAAAUGGGAGGUAUAUGUCUUCUAAAGCUAAAUACCGGCCAGAGACCGAUAGCGCACAAGUAGAGUGAUCGAAAGAUGAAAAGCACUUUGAAAAGAGAGUUAAAAAGUACGUGAAAUUGUUGAAAGGGAAGCGUUUAUGACCAGACUUGGGCUUGGUUAAUCAUCUGGGGUUCUCCCCAGUACACCUUUCCAGUCCAGGCCAGCAUCAGUUUUCCCCGGGGGAUAAAGGCGGCGGGAAUGUGGCUCUCUUCGGGGAGUGUUAUAGCCCACCGUGUAAUACCCUGGGGGGGACUGAGGUUCGCGCAUCUGCAAGGAUGCUGGCGUAAUGGUCAUCAACG